rnacentral:rRNA from 1 species
AUUGAACGCUGGCGGCAGGCCUAACACAUGCAAGUCGAACGAGUGGCGGACGGGUGAGUAAUGUAUUGGAAACUGCCUGAUGGAGGGGGAUAACUACGGGAAACGGUAGCUAAUACCGCAUACCAUCGGAUGUGCCCAUAUGGGAUGAGCUAGUAGGUGGGGUAAAGGCUCACCUAGGCGACGAUCCCUAGCUGGUCUGAGAGGAUGACCAGCCACACUGGAACUGAGACACGGUCCAGACUCCUACGGGAGGCAGCAGUGGGGAAUAUUGCACAAUGGGCGCAAGCCUGAUCCAGCGAUGCCGCGUGUAUGAAGAAGGCCUUCGGGUUGUAAAGUACUUUCAGCGGGGAGGCGUUACCUGCAGAAGAAGCACCGGCUAACUCCGUGCCAGCAGCCGCGGUAAUUC